rnacentral:rRNA from 1 species
UACGUAGGGGGCUAGCGUUGUCCGGAAUCAUUGGGCGUAAAGAGCGCGUAGGCGGCCCGGUAAGUCCGCUGUGAAAGUCGGGGGCUCAACCCUCGAAUGCCGGUGGAUACUGUCGGGCUAGAGUGCGGAAGAGGCGAGUGGAAUUCCUGGUGUAGCGGUGAAAUGCGCAGAUAUCAGGAGGAACACCAAUUGCGAAGGCAGCUCGCUGGGACGUAACUGACGCUGAGACGCGAAAGCGUGGGGAGCAAACAGG